UAACAAGUAAUUGUGAUAUAUAUUGUCACAUUAAAUGGUUGUAAUUAUUUUAUUAUUUUUUUGGUCUUAUUUCAGAUAUGGCAGAAUAGGGACAAGUUUGAAUUACUCCAAAUGAGAGUUCUCGAAAUUAAGGAUGAAAAUAACGUCGAAGAAUACGCCGUCGCAAAACUUAUUUCCGUAAUGAUUCAGACAAACCAUCAAGAAUAUCCCAAUCUUGAUACAUGAUUGGUAUAGUCAAGAAAAUAUGACGAAAGAAUCAGAAUGUUUCUAGCAAUGUAUAAUAUCAUCUACAAUCUAAUAGUAUAAUAUACAAUAAUAUGAUAUUAGGAUAGUACUGCAACGAGGACAAUCCUUUGUAUAAAUAAAUAUGAUACGGUUUAUCUGUUGUAUCUAUUGCUUUAGAUCAAGUCAAAAACAGCAAGAAAAUUAGGAGUAUUUAUAAUAACUUGAUAUUUGGUAUACUUAAAAUAUAUAAUAAAGAACUAUACUUUACUUCA
rnacentral:lncRNA from 1 species